rnacentral:ncRNA from 1 species
GCACAGGAUUCCUAAGAAAUUGGGCACUUUCAGAAGAAAUUCUAAAAGUGAAUCUGCUCAAAUUCGGGGAAAACUUCACAGGAAUUUGUAUGUCAAUCCCGAGCCAAGUCUCUUUUUAAAUUAAAGAGAAAGGUGUAGAGACUGAACGGGCAGCACCUAAAAAGCAUAAGUUUUAAGGUGAAGAGACAGUCCAGACCACAAACAGUUUUGCUG